UCUUACUUUGAAUACAGCAUGGAGCCAGUGGGAGCUAGACCUCCUCCUUCUCUAGCCAUGGGCUGAAUGAAAAUCGCUCCACCCUUGCACUUGGGACUUAAAGGAGAAGAGGUGCCCUUAGUGCGAAGGGGAACGUGAAGACCCACCACAAGAAGGAGGACAAAAAAGAAGAAGGUAGAGGACAGUGGUGCUGGAGAAAUUGCCACUGUCUGAUCUGGGGUGAAGUGACCACCUAGCAAGCGAGAGAAGAGGGGCAGCAGGUAAAAAAAAGACAAGCAACGGAAGUGCAAUGGAAGUGGGAACUGGACCAUAAGGAAGGCUGGGCAAAGGAAGAUAGACGCUUUUGAACAGUGGUGUUGGAGGAAAAUUCUGAGAGUGCCUUGGACUGCGAGAAGAUCCAACCAGUUCAUACUCCAGGAAAUAAUGCCCGGCUGCUCACUGGAGAGAAGGAUAUUUGAGGCAAAGAUUAAGUACUUUGGCCACAUAAUGAGAAGUCAGAAAAGCUUACAGAAGAUAAUGAUGCUGGGGAAAAUGGAAGGAAAAAGGAAGAGAGCCUGACCAAGAGCAAGAUGGAUGGAUGGUAUCCUUGAAGUGACUGGCUUGACCUUGAAGGAGCUGGAGGUGGCAACAGCUGAUGGGGAGCUCUGGUGUGGGCUGGUGAAGAGUCAGAAGUGGCUGAAUGAAUAAACAUAAUUAACAAAAAUAUUCGUAGGAAUAAGUUCCAAGAUGCCCAUGGAUAAUAACAAACACUAUAUUUCAAUUAUACUUGGGCUGGAAUAUAGAACAGCACUGGUGGA